rnacentral:lncRNA from 1 species
GCCGGUCACAAUGUCAGGCACUGGGGACGAACAUACAAUGGUCCUUGUCCUCAUGAAAUUUACAUUCUAGUGGAAAAUACUAAUAAUUACAACUACCAUUUAUUGAAUUGGACUCCAUUCGACUUGGUGAAGACAUUUUGAGAUUGAGAAAAAGAGAAGGGAAGGAUGUAAAGGAUGAGAGAAUGUUGAGAGUGAGGUGUAGAAAAAGGGCUAGGAUCUGGAGACGAAUGAAAUUUUGUCUACAGAUUUCUAAAUCAGAUUUGGUCAACAAACAUCAUCGAUAGCAACAAAUCUUUAGAGAGCACCUACCAUGUAUAGAUUUGUUCAGCUUGGCUCAUGCUCAUGACAAAUAAGUGAGGUGUGGCCCCUGUAAGCCCUUUAAAUUAUUUUACUUGUCUGACUGUGGACCUAGGGAAACCCCAGUGAAGGUCUCUGGUUUAUACUGCAAGAAAGAAUGUGCUUUCCUUCUGUCCCUGACAGAAAUACGCCCAUAAAUAAAUAAAUAUUUAUGCCCUUGAUUACUCAUACUAGUUGGUAAAGCAGAGCAGUGGAUCCCUAUCCUGGUUGCACAUCAGAAUCACCUAAAGAAUUUUGUAAAAGUACUGACUCCUGGGUCCCACUCCACAUUUGCUGAAUAAGAAUAUCGGGGGUGGAAGCCAGGAAUAUAUAGUUAUAACAAGCCUCCUAGUAACACUGAUCCACUGCCAGGUUUUGAAACCACUAGACCAAAACAAUAAUAACCCAAAAUUGGGAUCUCAAAGCCAAGUAUAAUUUGUCUAAAAUUUCUCCCAAAACUUUGGGGACCAACAUAAGGAUGUCAAUUUUUAAUGUUGCCACUUGAGGACAUGUAUCAUCACUAUCAUAUUGUUAAUUAAAUUGUAUUUUAACACCGAAAUAUAGAAAAUGUAGAAAGGACAUGGUCUUUUACUGAGGAAAGUGUUUCUCAAGAAAGGUCAGUUGGCACUAAUUUUUCUCAUGUGUCAGCAGACUGAUGAAAAUGUCACAGGCUAUCAUGGUUCUGCAGAUUAGUGCUUGGGACUCACUCGAACAGAUGACCACUGAAAGCCCUUCUGUCCCCGAUGUUCUCUAUUUUAGGCCAAGCGUACUUCCUUGCUUGGGGCCUCUCCCAUUCUCCAGUAGCGUUUUCUGGCUAGAGUGGAACUCAGUGGGUCAUUCGCAUCAUUCCGCUGCCCUGUGCCUAAAUCAUCCUAACUGCUUGAGAAUGGAUGAUGUAUUGAGAGCUUUCUCAAGAAGGACAGGUGAUCUGUCUGGACUCCCCUCUUUGGAUUACUGAUCUCCAUCCUUUCAAAUCCGGAUUUUCUCUAGCUCCGGAGGUGCCUGACAGAUUCAGGUGAGAACGUCCCUUCCUUUUAGAGAGGGGGGAUUCUUAUACCUCGGCCCUCCACUGGACCUAUUUCCAAGACACCGUUUCUUCCUCAGUGUCCCAGCACGAGGUCCAAGGCCUCAAAGACAGGUUCUAGAUUCCAUUCCUGCCACGGCGACCUGGAGCAUACAGACCUCGACACCAAAAUUCGGUCCUCUCUGAGGCAGGACAGGGGCCACCGAGCCCUCUUUGGGACGGAGGCCGCAGCAUUUCCCCCUCCCCACCGCCCGGCCUCCCCUGGGCCAGAGCCC